rfam:Erythrobacter sp. SG61-1L scaffold_1, whole genome shotgun sequence.
CAAAAUGGCCUUUCAGGCAUCCUCUCCCAAAACUUCCAUGGCCCGGCCGGCAACGGUCGGGCCUUUUUUCUUACCCGC